rnacentral:rRNA from 1 species
GUAGUCUCGCACAGAUGCAUAUCAAUAAGCGGAGGAAAAGAAACUAACAAGGAUUCCCCUAGUAACGGCGAGUGAAGCGGGAAGAGCUCAAAUUUGAAAUCUUAAAGGGUUUCCCUUUACGAAUUGUAGUUUAAAGAAGUGUUUUCUGUUGAGGUUUUGGUAAAAGUUCUUUGGAAUAGGACAUCAUAGAGGGUGAGAAUCCCGUAUUUGACCUUUACUUUCAACUUUGUGAUACACUUUCAAAGAGUCGGAUUGUUUGGGAAUGCAGUCCAAAAUGGGUGGUAAAUUUCAUCUAGAGCUAAAUAUUGGCGAGAGACCGAUAGCGAACAAGUACCGUGAGGGAAAGAUGAAAAGAACUUUGAAAAGAGAGUUAAACAGUACGUGAAAUUGUCAAAAGGGAAGCGUUUGACACCAGUGUUGUUUUCCUGAAAGUCAAUUAAAGAACUGUUUAUGCUAAGCUGUUUAGACUUUAUCAGCUAACUGUUUAGUUUUGAGCUUUUCUUUAAUGCACUUUUCAGUUAACAAGUCAACAUCAAUUUCUUUUGCUGUAAAAAAGCUUGAGGAAGGUGGCUUGAGAUUCGUCUUAAGUGUUUAUAGCCUCUUGCCUAUGCAGUCGGAGAGAUUGAGGUCUGCAGCGUAGAUCCUUCGGGGCUAAAUGCAUUUGUGCUAAGUUAUAGCAUUUUAUAGACAACUUGUUGACUAUGAUUUGUCUUGUAGCUUACUCGCUUAUGUUAUUUUACCUACGCUUAGGAUGUUGAGUAGCGACAUACGCAC